GAUGAACGCUGGCGGCGUGCCUAAUACAUGCAAGUCGAGCGAACGGACGAGAAGCUUGCUUCUCUGAUGUUAGCGGCGGACGGGUGGGUAACACGUGGAUAACCUACCUAUAAGACUGGGAUAACUUCGGGAAACCGGAGCUAAUACCGGAUAAUAUUUUGAACCGCAUGGUUCAAAAGUGAAAGACGGUCUUGCUGUCACUUAUAGAUGGACCCGCGCUGCAUUAGCUAGUUGGUAAGGUAACGGCUUACCAAGGCAACGAUGCAUAGCCGACCUGAGAGGGUGAUCGGCCACACUGGGACUGAGACACGGUCCAGACUCCUACGGGAGGCAGCAGUAGGGAAUCUUCCGCAAUGGGCGGAAGCCUGACGGAGCAACGCCGCGUGAGUGAUGAAGGUCUUCGGAUCGUAAAACUCUGUUAUUAGGGAAGAACAGAUGUGUAAGUAACUGUGCACAUCUUGACGGUACCUAAUCAGAAAGCCACGGCUAACUACGUG
rnacentral:rRNA from 1 species